CCAAUAGCGUAUAUUAAAGUUGUUGCAGUUAAAAAGCUCGUAGUUGAAUUUCGGGAUCAAGUCGUCGGUCGUGCCUCGGUACGCACUGGUGACAUUGGUUUCUCCCUUCUGAAGAACCUUGAUGUCAUUAAUUUGGUGUCUUGGGGAAUCAGGACUGUUACUUUGAAAAAAUUAGAGUGUUUAAAGCAGGCUCACGCUUGAAUACAUUAGCAUGGAAUAAUGAAAUAGGACGUUUGAUUCUAUUUUGUUGGUUUCUAGGAUCGACGUAAUGAUUAAUAGGGAUAGUUGGGGGCAUUAGUAUUCAAUUGUCAGAGGUGAAAUUCUUGGAUUUAUUGAAGACUAACUACUGCGAAAGCAUUUGCCAAGGAUGUUUUCAUUAAUCAAGAACGAAAGUUAGGGGAUCGAAGACGAUCAGAUACCGUCGUAGUCUUAACCAUAAACUAUGCCGACUAGGGAUCGGAUGAUGUGAAUUUUUUAAUGACUCAUUCGGCGCCUUACG
rnacentral:misc_RNA from 1 species